rnacentral:rRNA from 1 species
CCUACGGGAGGCAGCAGUGGGGAAUAUUGCACAAUGGGGGAAACCCUGAUGCAGCGACGCCGCGUGAAGGAAGAAGUAUUUCGGUAUGUAAACUUCUAUCAGCAGGGAAGAAAAUGCCGGUAACUGACUAUGAAGCCCCGGCUAACUACGUGCCAGCAGCCGCGGUAAUACGUAGGGGGCAAGCGUUAUCCGGAUUUACUGGGUGUAAAGGGAGCGUAGGCGGUUUAGCAAGUCAGAAGUGAAAGCCCGGGGCUCAACUCCGGGACGGCUUUUGAAACUGUUGAACUAGAGUGCAGGAGAGGUAAGUGGAAUUCCUAGUGUAGCGGUGAAAGGCGUAGAGAGUAGGCGGAACACCAGUGGCGAAGGCGGCUUACUGGACUGUAAAUGACGCUGAGGCUCGAAAGCGUGGGGAGCAAACAGGAUUAGAUACCCGGGUAGUC